GGCUGUGUAGUUCAACUGGAUAGAAUAUCAGAUUUCGGCUCUGAGGGUUGGGGGUUCGAAUCCCUUCACGGUCA
rfam:Polaribacter sp. KT25b genome assembly, chromosome: I